AGAGCUCGCGGGCGACUAAGUGCACUGCUGCUAUAUAGAUUAUGUUGAAUGUGACCAAGCAUUGCGUUGCGUUGUCGAGUCUAGUACGUAGUAUAUACUAUGUCAGUUUUUUGAUCGUCUUU